rnacentral:rRNA from 1 species
UACGAAGGGGGCGAGCGUUGUUCGGAUUUACUGGGCGUAAAGGGCGCGCAGGCGGUUCUGUUUGUCGAGUGUGAAAGCCCCGGGCUCAACCUGGGAACUGCGCUCGAAACGGCGGAACUAGAGUUCGGGAGAGGAGAGUGGAAUUCCCAGUGUAGAGGUGAAAUUCGUAGAUAUCGGGAGGAACACCGGUGGCGAAGGCGGCGACCUGGACAGUAACUGACGCUGAGACGCGAAAGCGUGGGUAGCAAACAGG